ACUACGAGCUUCCAAGAAGGAAACUUACACAAAGGGCCCAGCAUGCAGUAUGAGCACCAAAAAAUUAGCUCCUUACCUCACAAGCAAGAAUUAAAAAUUCAAAAGAUUCAGCUGGAAAAUUAGAGUCAGAAACUUAAACUGAACAGAAGAAAAGUGCCGGAGUGGCAUCUACGAUUGAUGAGGCUUUGGGUAGCGGCUACAAUAGCGACAAUCAGCUUUCACCUCAUCCAAGAGCAUCCAAUAGCUGGGCUAAGGAAUUCUACCCAAGAGUUCGCACAACUUCCAGCACUGGCGAGUGACACCCACAAUGUUUGCAAACACAAGGCAAACCUCGACGUAACUGGAAGAGGAAAAACUUUCAAAGAACGAGCACCUCUUCGGCGUAAUGAAAUUA